GUAUUUAAAUGGUAAAGUGUCCCCCGCCUGUACUAAAAAAAUAAAAUUUAAAACACGUAGAAUCAGUGACAUAAAACUCGGUAUGCAUCUGUUUAAAACAAUAUUUUGAUUGAUUGAUCUAUUGAUUGGUGAUUAACGCCACUUUCAGCACUAUUGGCUGUUUUGUGGCGGUCAGUUUUUAUUUGUGGGGGAAACUGGAGUGCCGGGAGAGAACAACAGAAAACUGACAAUGCUCGUCAAUUCAGAUUCGAACUCCCAACAUUAGUGUUGACAGGCUAGUUAAACAGUUGUUGGAUUACUUAGACC
rnacentral:lncRNA from 1 species